AUUGAACGCUGGCGGCAUGCUUUACACAUGCAAGUCGAGCGGCAGCGCGGGGGCAACCCUGGCGGCGAGCGGCGGACGGGUGAGUAAUGCAUCGGAACGUAUCCCGUAGUGGGGGACAACCCAGCGAAAGUUGGGCUAAUACCGCAUACGCUCUACGGAGGAAAGUGGGGGACUUCGCAAGGAGCCUCACGCUAGGGGCGCGGCCGAUGUCCGAUUAGCUAGUUGGUGGGGAAUGGCUCACCAAGGCGACGAUCGGUAGCUGGUCUGAGAGGAUGAUCAGCCACACUGGGACUGAGACACGGCCCAGACUCCUACGGGAGGCAGCAGUGGGGAAUUUUGGACAAUGGGGCAACCCUGAUCCAGCCAUGCCGCGUGAGUGAAGAAGGCCU
rnacentral:rRNA from 1 species